CCAGAAUCCAGCCAAAUAAAAAUUGAAACGAUACAGAGAGGAUUAGCAUGGCCCCUACGCAAGGAUGACACGCAUAAAUAAAAAUUAUACACUCAUCCAU